UUUUUUUUUCUAACCUUAAAGGUACCUUGUGUUUUGCUACUAUGAAUAGAAAAGCGGAAAAAGCGACGGUAACCAGUUGGUUUGACAUGUUGAUGUCGAUUUCAUAGUUAGUCCCCCUUGUUGAAACCAGGAGCCAAACCGACCUUUCUCAUCAGCAGACGACGAGCGAAACUUCAAGCUCAGAUAGAUAACGCACUUAGGUUUUUAUCACUCAUCAAGUAAUCCACAAUGUCCCGUCGGGCGUCAAUGUUCAGCUUUUUGGGAGUUUCUGAUGAAGAUAUACACAGUUCAAUCAAGACAUCCAACAGAGAUGCUUCUUUGAAAGGACGUUUGAAAAGGGUGAUUAUAAAGGAUUCAACAGCCCGUCGAGUGGCUAUCAUAUUUGACUUGAUCAUACGUCUUUUGGCUUGUCUCCUUUAUGUCAUUCGUGUUAUUAUUGAUGAUCAGCAAGAAUAUGAUUGCUAUGGCUAUCCUUGUGCCACAGAAGAAAGCAAUCAUUCAGAACUUUCACGCCCCAAACCAAUCAACUGGUAUGUUGUUGCUUGGGUACACCGCCCCUUCGGAUUAUGGAUAGCACAAGUUGUUCUGUCAUUUGUAAUGCUUUCAAAAUUUAUUUUACAACUCUAUGUUGUACGUAAGCAAAAAGCUCUUCAAAGAAUUUUCAGAGCAACCACUCUUAUUGAAGUAUUGUGUACCAUCCCAGUUGUUGCCACGGUAUUUUGGCCAGACAAAUUACAAAACAUGUUUUACCCAACCUUUUUAAAUUGCUGGUUGGCUAACGAUGCGUUUUUGACUCUUUUUAAUGAUAUUCAUAUUGCUGGGAAACGUUUUCAGAGUAUAUCAGAAAGCCUCAGUCAACAACUUUUCAUGUUAAUUGGCUCCCUCUGUUGUUUGAUAUUUACAACUAUCUGUGGUAUACAGCAUAUCCAGAGAGCAACAACAUAUGAGUCUGAACAACAACUGAAUUUAUUCCAGUCCUUCUAUUUCGUCAUCGUUACCUUCACUACAGUUGGUUAUGGAGAUUUCUCUCCUGAUUAUUGGCUUGGACAACUUUUCAUGCUGGCAAUGAUUGUCAUUGCAUUUGCCUUUAUUCCAAGACAGCUGGAAAGUAUUGGAUCAACUUUUAUUGACAAGAAAAAGGAAGGGAAAGAAUUCAGUAAAGAUAAUGCUAAACGUCAUAAACAUGUUGUAGUUUUUAUCACUGCAAUUUUUCCAGAUGUUAUCAUGGAUUUCUUAAAUGAAUUUUUUGCACAUCCUGAUCUUCAGUGUUACCAUGUAGUCUUUAUGGCUUCUACAGAACUUAACACAAACAUCAAUGUUGUUCUGAAAGAUCCUAAAUGGGGCCAUAGAGUACAUUAUUUGAAGGGAUCAGCUUUAAAAGACAUGGACCUUGAUAAAGCCAGGGUUCAAGAUGCACAGGCAUGCUUUAUAUUAGCUGAGAGAAAUACAAAACACAGAAGUGAAGCAGAUCAACAUACAAUUUUGCGAUCAUGGGCUGUCAAAGACUUUGCUCCUCACUGCCCUCAAUACUUACAACUUUUCCUGGUUGAAAAUCGAAUGCAUGUUAAAUCUGCAGAUUGUAUAGUAUGUGAAGAUGAAUUUAAAUAUGCUCUCUUUGCCAAUAAUUGCAUGUAUCCAGGAAUAUCAACAUUGGUGACAUUAAUGCUUCAUACUUAUGAAGGAGAUAUAGGUAAAGAUGCUCCAGAAAGGUGGCAGAAAAUUUAUGGACGUCAUUCGGGGAAUGAGCUUUACCAUAUUUCCCUUGAAAAUAGCUUGUUUUUCAGUCACUACAUAGGAAAAAGCUUCACUGAAGCUUCAGCUGAUGCUCAUGCAAAAUUUGGUGUAUGUUUGCUUGCAGUCGAAGAUACUUUAAAACCAAACAAUCAAAUACAACUGAAUCCUGGAUCAAGUUAUACACUGAAAAAAUCUGAUAUCUGUUAUUACUUAAGCAUAACACAAGAAGAAUAUGCGCAGAUUAAACAUGAUUUUAAUGAACAGCAAUCUUUAAAUGGAGAGAGACGCUUUAUUGAAAAAAAAUUGGCAGGUAUUGACAUACCUAUGACAAAUUUGCCGAGAGGUAAUAAUGAUGAAUUUGCAAAUGAGCUACAAAACCUGAGUGAGGAUGAUGACACUGAUGAAGAAAUUGAGAGUCUCCCUGCAGUUACUAUCAGCAAUUCUUUUAUGAAUAACCCAAGUCAAGUUAUAAAAGAAGAAAAUGAAAAUGAAGAACCAGAAUCACCAUCACCAAAAGAACAUGGAGUCAUUAGAAAAUAUUCCUCCGACUCUGGAGAUGAUAAGUUUUAUACUGGUCUUCCUCCAGUUGUUCCUUUCGUCGGAGCCAGAAAGACACUUUGUCAUCUUGAGCGAUCACGUAUGAACUGUUGCUUAAAAUGGGCAUCGGAUUGUGAACAUUGCUCAUUUAAAAAUGCCAAGGACCCUCUCUGGAACAACCAACUUAUUAUUUUAGCAGCUGAAAAAUCAAAUGGAGGCAUAUACAACUUUAUUGUUCCAUUGCGUUCAUAUUUCCUUAAUCGAGAUUCUUUACGCCCUAUUAUACUACUUUUUGAAAAUGAACCAAGCUCACAGUUUUUGUAUAUUAUAGCACAUUUUCCUCUAGUAUAUUGGUUGGUUGGAACACUUUCUUGUGUUGAUGAUCUUCUCAAAGCUGGUAUCACAAAAGCCAGUCAAAUAGUUGUAGUGAAAAGAGAAAUGACUCAGUCAGUAUCUGAAACAACACUUAUGGAUACAGGCACCAUUCUGGCUGCUCAACAAAUAUUCAAGUUGUUUCCAAGUGCUAAGAUAUUAACUGAAUUGGAUCAAGCAUCAAAUAUGAGAUUCAUGAACUUUAGAGUUCUUGAUAAUUAUUCAAUGCAAAUUGCCAAAUUAGAAAAAGUAAAAAAUUGCAAGUCAAGUAUCUUCCAAUUUGUGUCACAUGUUCCGGCUUCCUUUUGCUGCUGGCCGUGUUUUUAGUGCUAGCAUGCUUGACACUCUUUUAUAUCAGACGUUUGAGAAAGGAUAUCUAAUUGCAUUUAUUCGUCUUUUCUUGGGAAUUGAUUCCUCAGAAAAUUCUGGACAUCUUUCAAGUAUUCAAGUUCGGAAAAGUACUUUGCAUAAAUUGACAACUUAUGGAGAAUUGUAU
rnacentral:misc_RNA from 1 species